rnacentral:rRNA from 1 species
UGGUGCCGAUGCGCUUAGGGGAAACACCCGUUCCCAUCCCGAACACGACGGUUAAGACCUAAGCGGCCGAUGGUACUAUGCUGGAGACGGCAUGGGAGAGCAGGUGGGUGCCA